GCAGCACCAGGAGGAGGGCGAGCCCUGCGGGAACUUGGCCGAGUCGGGUGCGAUGCAGACGCUGGAGCCGAGGGGGGAAAUUGAGAGCAAUGAAAGAUCCAGUUUUCCACAGCAUCAGAAACUACUUCAACUACACUGAGUGGAGAUUGUAUUUCUAGCUGUGUAGUUAGAAACAGAAUUAGUUCAUAGAUACCCAACUGUGAAUUAAAUGGCUGCAAAUGUUAUCUUGACACAAAACCAUGGUGCUUCCUCACAUAUCCCCCGUCCUUCAAAACUGUCAGUUUGAUCAAUCAGAUGAACAUCACUCGAUGGAUCAACUGAAGUAGAUUGUUGCCUUAGAUGAUUUCCUCAUUUGCUAUAGAAACUGGAGAGCAUGGAAUGAAGAAGGGACGACGCUGGAGGAGUGGAAUGAAUGCUAACCUGAAGAACUAGAAUCUAAUUCAGUCUUUGCCAGACAAUUCUUGUAUGCCACCUGGCAAGUUAUUUAAACCGAUUUUUUUACUAAGUAGAUCUGUUUGCUUAAGUUAGAAGUCUAACCUCCUUCUCAACUACAGCUGAGGAAAAGAGGCCAGCUCUGCUCAGAGCACACAUUUUGGAGUCCUCCUAUCUCUAUGGCUAAACAUUCAUCCUCAAUUUCUAGAUUAAAGGCAUAGAGAGAAUAUCAUCUCCCAUGGCGAGUUUCUUCUUUUCUAAGUGGUAAACUCAGAAUGUGUGGAAUGAGAUUGGCAGAUGCCCUGAACACUCAGCUGAAAAGGAUAUUAGCAAGCCUUUUGCUCUGAACGCACACAGCAGUAAACACACUGAAAACACUACAUGCCAAUGCAGACCUAGCAGAAACUUGAUAGAUUGGGCUUUCACCUCUUAUUUCCCAAAGGUGUAAAAGUGAAACAAUCAGAUAUGAUGGCGAUAACAACAGAAACUACCCAGAAACCCACCACAAGGAAAUGAAUUCUUUACUUAGUGCAGAUGUAACUCUGAGGCAGACAACUGGCAUGGAAAAUAUCAACAGAAAGCAUCAGAAUAUAUGUAAGUUCUAAUACAGGGUCUCAGCUUAAGAAAACCUUUACUAGAGGCUGGCCUAGCAGCUCUGCGACUUAUAUACCAUCUCUGCAGCGGACAGAAGCUUAGCUGCAUGCAUCUGUGUAUGAAACUAUGCUACAGCACAUUAAAUACCACAAGCACAUUUCCGGCAGCAUGUUGUCUCAUUAACAAAUCUACUUCCAUUUCCUGCAUGUCCUCUGAAAAUAAAGGUCACGCUUUUACGGUGUUUGAUCAUAACACCACAAGCGACUCCCUUUACAAGGUUCAAGAUUCUUCUCUAAAAGGCAAGAUGCCCAAGAUGAAGGACAAAAAUUUAAAACUAGGCAAAUGACCAGAGCAAGCAUCUGUGACAGUAUUUAGAACUUAAGAUUAAAGAGUGUAAAUAGGCAUGACUCCCUUCAAAGCAUGUCCACGACACUUCUGUACACAUACCUUGAGGGGGCGGUGUGACACAAAGUAUUGUGCAAAGGUCCCGGGUAGUGCCAAAGGACAGAAGUGUUCUUCAUUCCCCGCUGCUUACACUACGUGAACUUCUACUUCCACUGGAUUAAUGGUUCUCUUCAGUGGUAAGGACAGAUACCUCAUUUCUUAAUGAGUUGCUUCUUGUGGGGAAUAAUGUUGACUAUAGCAGUACAAUUGUAUUAGGCCGAUAUAGAUUCCAUCAGAGCAGAAGAUUACCUUUUUUUAAGUCUAAUUCAAGUAUGUAUCUGAGGUCUACAGAGCAGCUGUGCUCCCUAAAACACACAGAAAAGAAGGAAACUGGCCAAAGAAAUUGCAUGCUAUCGAUAGGAUCCAUGUGGCCUGGAUUGUGUACAAACAUGCACACACACAUAUAUAUGGGUUUUUUUUCCUUGUAUAUUUUCCUCUGUGUGUGUGUAUAUAUAUAUGUUUCUCUAGAAGAAUGUUCCUUCACGCAAUCAGAACUACGGAUCAGAUUCCCCAGGUGGUAUACACUAGAGUUCUAUUAACUUGAGUCCAGACUAGCUGAGAAGCUGCCUUUGUUUCUUUCAAAUGAAAUCAACAGGUUGUUUCACUCUUCCUCCAAACCCAUGAGUCAGAAUGGGCCAAAGGCACAAUUUGUUAAUGUGUUACUGUCACAUGUCCUUUUCCACAGUUUAUGUUUGCCCAAAGAGAUCGAGUGUUUUCUGGGCCUUGACUACAAACUGGUAUUCCAUGAAGUCUAUUGUAACAGAUUUGAUCUUCCCAUUGCUGAGCAUGCCUGCAAAAUCCAGUUCCUAGAAGUAGACAUUUUGGAAAAGGUAUUUUGAGGUGAUGCAGUCCUCUAGACUGGAUACUCCUCUGCAGGAAACAAACAGCACCGUAGUAUUAAAAGUAUCUGAAAUAAUCUUGUCAUUUGCAACAGUGUUAAGAAUGCUAAAUGGGAAUGCAAAAAGUGGGAAAUCUGCUGCAGCCUGAUCUCCCAGUUGAAAUCCUGAGGACGUGGCUCUAGUUCCCUGUAUUCUGAGAGCCGUAGCUGGGGAAAAGAGCAGUAGUAGAAGGAAGAGAGUAGUGCAACAGACAAGCAAAGAGCUGUAGUCUUUUUACCAGAAAUUUCCAUUUUCAACAAAACCAACAGAUAUUCAUAUGAUCUUCUAGUGCUUUGAUUUCUGAAAGCCUAUGCUAAUUUUACAUCACUUUUCCAAGGAUUCCAGAAGCAUCCUAUCAAACAAAGGCAAAGCUUUAACUCUGAUCCAAACUUUGCUUUGUCUGCACUAUCACAGCCUGGUCACAAUGCAAGGUAUAAAUAAAGAUGAAUGUGACUAUUCUGCGUGGUGGGUUUUUUGAACCAAGGGAGAUGUGAAAAAUAAAUGCUACAAAUAAACUGAAUGGUUUUUAAAUUUUCCACAUUGCUUUCUUAAUGUGUUAUUUGUACAGAUGAAGGGUUAUUUUAAUUCAUGCUUUAAACAAAUGCCUGAAAGUUCUCAUACGUCUGGCAGCUUUCAACACCACCUUCAUCAAUUGUUAUACUGUCCUCCAGAGUCUGUUCAGUAAUGCAAGUGCAUCAGGGUGACAUCCAGCAGUAUUAUUUCAUCUCACUGGCAUUUAGCUUUUACUGUAAUCAGUUAUGUAAAUUUUAUAUUAUAUUAUUUCCAAAUGUAGUCUUGAAAAUACAAUAAUGAUUCUGUACUUGUGCUUAAGCUACUUUUAAGAUCAGCAGGCUUUAUUUCAUCCUAUCUUAAUCAAAAUAGAACAUUUUACAGCCAACAUAACUAAUUUCUCUUCAUCACAACUGAACAAGGCUUACUCACUAAUUUUUGGCAAACAAGGGGACUACAGGUAUAUUAAAAAAAAAAAUAGGCAGCUCAGUUUACAUACUGUGUCAGAGCACAGAGAACUCCCAAACAUCCCGUUGAAACAAAACCUAGUACUACCUAUUUGCCUGGAAAAUGUGAUAGCUGGGACCAGCCUAUCCACCUAUCUGUUUGAUCAAGGAAGGAGAAACUGUUCAAAAGCACUUGAGUAAUUCCAGAACCUAAAAAUCACUAGUACUAUUUCUUAUGUCACAUGGGGCAAAACCGUAGAUGGUUCUAAGCCACAUACACUGCAUGUUUAAAUAACAAGCAGGUUUUCAAUUUCACCACUACAAUUAGCUUGUUAACAGUCUAAGGAAAAUAGACAAUAAUCCAGUCACAAAAAUUAAAUGAAGAAUUACUCAGAUGAUAAUCUGGGAGGACUGGGAAGAGAAUGAGAUGGUACAGAAUGAUACUAUUUCAGAUAAAACUCAGGAAUCAGAAUGUGAAAUCUAUUUGCCUGUGAAAAGAACAUGUAAAGAAAAUAUUGUAAAAGCAGUGUUUAGAUUAAUUUCUAAAGUUCCAUUCCAAACACUUAAAAAUGGUAUGAUAGAAAACUCCCAGGAUGAACUGGGUGAACUAAUAUGACUUUUUUCACCUCUAACAUCUGUUAUUUCCAUGUAGAAUAUUACUACAGUAAAAGUAUCAUAUGUAUCUGUGAACUGUAACUGUACACAAACAAUUUCAC